GGCGGGCCGCGGCGGCGGCGCUGGAGUUGAGGGUGGAGGGCCCCCCUCGGGGAGGCCGUUCUAUCACGCCGCGCUUCGGGACGGGGCGUCUAGGUGUCGGAGCACUUGCGAGGAUACGCCCUUCCAGAUCCACCUGGAGUGGACAGACACCACAAGUUUGGCUGCUUGAAGCUGUGUUCUCCUGAGAGGGACUUUGACGCUUAAAAUGAACUGUCAAUGGCAUGGUCUGUAGGAUCGUUUCCCAGGGAAAGACUCCAUGAUUCGGUGAGCACUCUGUUGAUUUAUUUGUCUGUUGGUCUAUCUAGAAUUUUCAGAAUCAUCUAUGAUAAAAGAAUGAUGAUUUGCCAUCAGAAGCAGCUAAGCCUCAGAAGUAUUUUGAGCAAUAAAUGAAAUGAACGUAAGGACACUUUGAAAACUGAAAAGCACAUACAAAUGCAUAGUUUUACUAUGUUUCAAAACUAUUCUGAGAACCACAUAUAUACAUAUGUUUAUCUGUAGAGAACUGGUUAAUUAUUAUAUAUUAUUAUAUAGCAAACAUCUUUGGAAAGAUUCCAAAUGUAAAGCUUCCAUUGACCUCAGGAUGUGUUACCCUAUUGGCAUCAUUAUGUGACACAUGGAGUAUUGCCAACCAGAGAAACUUGCCUAAAGUUCAGUGUCCACAGUUUUUAUUGGGAUUUAGACAAAUGGGCAUGAUUGAUUGAUUGAUUGAUUGCCCAACGGUUGAAUUCAAUCUCUAAUCCUGACCACUUUCCCAGAGGCUGGGCUGAUACCAAGUGGUCCAAUGCAUCCACCAUUCAUCACCAUUUUAGCAUAAACUGUCAGUGUUGUUUGAGGGGUCCACCAUGAAUGACAAAAGACUCCUAUUGCUCUAGAAACUCCAGCAACAUAUCG